rnacentral:rRNA from 1 species
CGAAUACCAGACGCUACGGCGUUGAAGCAGUCUAUGUCAUACUUCCAAGAAAAGCUCGCAAGGUCAUAAACAAAUAAUGCCUGUACCAUAACCGACACAGGUGGGUAGGUAGAGUAUACUAAGGGGCGCGAGAUAACUCUCUCUAAGGAACUCGGCAAAAUGACUCCGUAACUUCGGGAGAAGGAGUACCUUAUUUAUAAGGUUGCAAUAACAAGAUCCAAGCAACUGUUUAUCAAAAACACAGGUCUCCGCUAAGUCGUAAGACGAUGUAUGGGGGCUGACGCCUGCCCAGUGCCAGAAGGUUAAAGAAGUUGGUUAGCAAUUGCAAAGCUGAUAACUGAAGCCCUGGUGAACGGCGGCCGUAACUAUAACGGUCCUAAGGUAGCGAAAUUCCUUGUCGGGUAAGUUCCGACCCGCACGAAAGGCGUAAUGAUUUGGAUACUGUCUCAGAGAGGGGCUCGGUGAAAUAGACUUGUCUGUGAAGAUGCGGACUACCUGCACCUGGACAGAAAGACCCUAUGAAGCUUUACUGUAACUUGAAAUUGAAACUGGACUUUACUUGCGCAGGAUAGGUGGGAGGUGUUGAAAAUAUUUUUGCGGAAAUAUUGGAGCUGUCAGUGAGAUACCACUCCUGUAAUGUUAGGUUUCUAACUUGGAAUCAUAACCUGGUCCAAGAACAGUUUCAGGCGGGCAGUUUGACUGGGGCGGUCGCCUCCUAAACGGUAACGGAGGCGUACAAAGGUUUCCUCUGAACGGGUAGAAAUCGUAUCUAGAGUGUAAAGGCAUAAGGAAGCUUGACUGUGAGACCUACUAGUCGAGCAGGGACGAAAGUCGGUCUUAGUGAUCUGACGGUGCUGAGUGGAAAGGCCGUCACUCAACGGAUAAAAGUUACUCUAGGAUAACAGGCUGAUCUCCCCCAAGAGUUCACAUCGACGGGGAGGUUUGGCGCCUCGAUGUCGGCUCAUCGCGUCCUGGGGCGGUAGUACGUCCCAAGGGUUGGGCUGUUCGCCCAUGAAAGCGGUACGCGAGCUGGGUUCAGAACGUCGUGAGACAGUUCGGUCCAUAUCCGGUGUAGGCGUUAGAAUAUUGAGAGGAGCCUUCUUUAGUACGAGAGGACCGAGAAGGACACACCUAUGGUGUACCAGUUAUCGUGCCAACGGUAAACGCUGGGUAGCUACGUGUGGAGUGGAUAACCGCUGAAAGCAUCUAAGUGGGAAGCCCACCUCAAGAUUAGUAUUCUC